rnacentral:rRNA from 1 species
AAUACAUGMAGUCGAGCGGMAGAUGGGAGCUUGCUCCUGAUGUUAGCGGCGGACGGGUGAGUAACACGUGGGUAACCUGCCUGUAAGACUGGGAUAACUCCGGGAAACCGGGGCUAAUACCGGAUGGUUGUUUGAACCGCAUGGUUCAAACAUAAAAGGUGGCUUCGGCUACCACUUACAGAUGGACCCGCGGCGCAUUAGCUAGUUGGUGAGGUAAYGGCUCACCAAGGCAACGAUGCGUAGCCGACCUGAGAGGGUGAUCGGCCACACUGGGACUGAGACACGGCCCAGACUCCUACGGGAGGCAGCAGUAGGGAAUCUUCCGCAAUGGACGAAAGUCUGACGGAGCAACGCCGCGUGAGUGAUGAAGGUUUUCGGAUCGUAAAGCUCUGUUGUUAGGGAAGAACAAGUACCGUUCGAAUAGGGCGGUACCUUGACGGUACCUAACCAGAAAGCCACGGCUAACUACGUGCCAGCAG